rnacentral:rRNA from 1 species
UACGUAGGGUGCAAGCGUUGUCCGGAAUUAUUGGGCGUAAAGAGCUCGUAGGCGGUUUGUCGCGUCUGCUGUGAAAACGCGGGGCUCAACUCCGCGCCUGCAGUGGGUACGGGCAGACUAGAGUGCAGUAGGGGAGACUGGAAUUCCUGGUGUAGCGGUGGAAUGCGCAGAUAUCAGGAGGAACACCGAUGGCGAAGGCAGGUCUCUGGGCAUUAACUGACGCUGAGGAGCGAAAGCAUGGGGAGCGAACAGG